rnacentral:rRNA from 1 species
CCUACGGGAGGCAGCAGUGGGGGAUAUUGCACAAUGGGCGCAAGCCUGAUGCAGCGACGCCGCGUGGAGGAAGAAGGUUUUCGGAUUGUAAACUCCUGUCUUCAGGGACGAUAAUGACGGUACCUGAGGAGGAAGCCACGGCUAACUACGUGCCAGCAGCCGCGGUAAUACGUAGGUGGCAAGCGUUGUCCGGAAUUACUGGGUGUAAAGGGAGCGUAGGCGGGAUUGCAAGUUAAAUGUGAAAUCUAUCGGCUCAACCGGUAGCUGCGUUUAAAACUGUAGUUCUUGAGUGAAGUAGAGGCAGGCGGAAUUCCUAGUGUAGCGGUGAAAUGCGUAGAUAUUAGGAGGAACACCAGUGGCGAAGGCGGCCUGCUGGGCUUUUACUGACGCUGAGGCUCGAAAGUGUGGGUAGCAAACAGGAUUA